rnacentral:rRNA from 1 species
AUUGAACGCUGGCGGCAGGCCUAAUACAUGCAAGUCGAACGAGUGGCGGACGGGUGAGCAGUGUCUGAGAACCUGCCUGAUGGACGGGUCUCAGUACUGGCAACCUUGGCUAAUACCGCUUACCCUCCUUUCGGCUCUGAUGGGAUGAGGUAGUUGGUGGGGUAACGGCUCACCAAGGCGACGAUCCCUAGCUGGUCUGAGAGGAUGACCAGCCACACUGGAACUGAGACACGGUCCAGACUCCUACGGGAGGCAGCAGUGGGGAAUAUUGCACAAUGGGCGAAAGCCUGAUGGAGCCAUGCCGCGUGUAUGAAGAAGGCCUUCGGGUUGUAAAGCACUUUUGGCGGGGAGGCGUUACCCGACGAAGAAGCACCGGCUAACUCCGUGCCAGCAGCCGCGGUAAUAC